AAGACUAUAGACCUGCGGAGUACCUGCGGAGGGAUCAUUACAGAGUUACUACUCCAAACCCAUUGUGAACCUUACCUAUGUUCUGUUGCCUCGGCGGCGUGGUCAGCGCCCCUCUGAAAAGAGGACGAUGCCCUCCCGCCGGCAGCACCAAACUCUUGAAUUUUACAGCGGAUUACAGUUCUGAUUUGAAAACAAAAAACAAGUUAAAACUUUUAACAACGGAUCUCUAGAUCGGAAGAG
rnacentral:misc_RNA from 1 species